AGAGUUUGAUCCUGGCUCAGGAUGAACGCUAGCGGCAGGCUUAAUACAUGCAAGUCGUGGGGCAGCGCAGGUAGCAAUACUGGGCGGCGACCGGCAAACGGGUGCGGAACACGUACACAACCUUCCUUCAAGUGGGGAAUAGCCCAGAGAAAUUUGGAUUAAUACCCCGUAACAUAACGAUGUGGCAUCACAUUGUUAUUAUAGCUUCGGCGCUUGUUGAUGGGUGUGCGGCUGAUUAGAUAGUUGGCGGGGUAACGGCCCACCAAGUCUACGAUCAGUAGCUGAUGUGAGAGCAUGAUCAGCCACACGGGCACUGAGACACGGGCCCGACUCCUACGGGAGGCAGCAGUAAGGAAUAUUGGUCAAUGGACGAAAGUCUGAACCAGCCAUGCCGCGUGAAGGAUUAAGGUCCUCUGGAUUGUAAACUUCUUUUAUCUGGGACGAAAAAAGGCGAUUCUUCGUCACUUGACGGUACCAGAUGAAUAAGCACCGGCUAACUCCGUGCCAGCAGCCGCGGUAAUACGGAGGGUGCAAGCGUUAUCCGGAUUCACUGGGUUUAAAGGGUGCGUANGCGGGCAGGUAAGUCAGUGGUGAAAUCCUAGAG
rnacentral:rRNA from 1 species